rnacentral:rRNA from 1 species
GUUUGAACUGAAGAGUUUGAUCAUGGCUCAGAUUGAACGCUGGCGGCAGGCCUAACACAUGCAAGUCGAGCGG